rnacentral:rRNA from 1 species
AUUGAACGCUGGCGGCAGGCCUAACACAUGCAAGUCGAGCGGAUGAAGGGAGCUUGCUCCUGGAUUCAGCGGCGGACGGGUGAGUAAUGCCUAGGAAUCUGCAUGGUAGUGGGGGAUAACGUCCGGAAACGGGCGCUAAUACCGCAUACGUCCUGAGGGAGAAAGUGGGGGAUCUUCGGACCUCACGCUAUCAGAUGAGCCUAGGUCGGAUUAGCUAGUUGGUGGGGUAAAGGCCUACCAAGGCGACGAUCCGUAACUGGUCUGAGAGGAUGAUCAGUCACACUGGAACUGAGACACGGUCCAGACUCCUACGGGAGGCAGCAGUGGGGAAUAUUGGACAAUGGGCGAAAGCCUGAUCCAGCCAUGCCGCGUGUGUGAAGAAGGUCUUCGGAUUGUAAAGCACUUUAAGUUGGGAGGAAGGGCAGUAAGUUAAUACCUUGCUGUUUUGACGCUACCAACAGAAUAAGCACCGGCUAACUUCGUG